rnacentral:rRNA from 1 species
CCAAUCGAACGUGGAGAUAGCUGGUUCUCCCCGAAAUAGCUUUAGGGCUAGCCUCAUGGCGAGAGUACAGGCGGUAGAGCACUGAACGGGGUAGGGGCCUAUCCGGCUACUGAACCUAAUCAAACUGCGAAUGGCUGUACUUAUCCAUGGGAGUCAGACUGUGAGUAAUAAGGCCCAUAGUCAAGAGGGAAACAGCCCAGACCAACAGCUAAGGUCCCCAAUGCCGUACUAAGUGGCGAAGGAUGUGGAAUUUCGAAAACAACCAGGAUGUUGGCUCAGAAGCAGCCACCAUUAAAAGAGUGCGUAAUAGCUCACUGGUCGAGAGACUCUGCGCCGAAGAUGUCCGGGGCUAAAGUACGGAACCGAAGCUUUGGCAAUUGACAUUAGUCAAUUGGGUAGGGGAGCGUUCCUGCAUGGGAGAAGCCUGACCGGAAGGACAGGUGGACAGGCAGGAAGAGAGAAUGCCGGUAUGAGUAGCGAAAAGAAGGGUGAGAAUCCCUUCCACCGAAAGCCUAAGGGUUCCUGGGCAACGAUCGUCGUCCCAGGGUAAGUCGGGACCUAAUCCGAGGCGGAGACGCGUAGGAGAUGGACAACAGGUUGAAAUUCCUGUACUGGCUGAGGCCGUUUGAGCGAAGGAGUGACACAGGAAGGAAGGCGCGCGUGCGAUUGGAAGAGCACGUCCAAGCAGGUAGGUUGGGAGACAGGCAAAUCCGUUUCCCAUGAGGCCGAGAUGCGAUGGGGAGCUUCUGGAGACAGAAGCGAAGGGGCUGGCACUAAACUGUCGAGAAAAGCUUCUAGUGAGGACUCAGGCACCCGUACCGAAACCGACACAGGUAGGCAGGAUGAGAAUUCUAAGGUGCGCGGGAAAACCCUCGUUAAGGAACUCGGCAAAAUAUAUCCGUAACUUCGGGAAAAGGAUAACCCAGCGUACGUGAAGUGCAGAAGCGCACGGAGCGGAGAUGGGUGGCAGAAGAGAGGCCCAAGCGACUGUUUACCACAAACACAGGCGUCUGCUAAAGCGAAAGCUGAUGUAUAGAUGCUGACACCUGCCCGGUGCUGGAAGGUUAAGAGGAAGUGUUAGCGCAAGCGAAGCAGUGAAUUGAAGCCCCAGUAAACGGCGGCCGUAACUAUAACGGUCCUAAGGUAGCGAAAUUCCUUGUCGGGUAAGUUCCGACCCGCACGAAAGGUGUAACGAUUUGGGCACUGUCUCAACGAGGGACCCGGUGAAAUUGAAGUACCUGUGAAGAUGCAGGUUACCCGCGACUGGACAGAAAGACCCCAUGGAGCUUUACUGUAACCUGAGAUUGGAUUCCGGUAAGAGAUGUACAGGAUAGUUGGGAGGCUUAGAUACAAGUACGCCAGUAUUUGUGGAGCCAUUGGUGGGAUACCAACCUUGUUUUAUUGGAAUUCUAACGAGAAGCGUAACGAGCUUGCGGACAGUCUCAGGCGGGCAGUUUGACUGGGGCGGUCGCCUCCGAAAGAGUAACGGAGGCGCCCAAAGGUUCCCUCAGCGCGGACGGAAACCGCGCGAAGAGUGCAAAGGCAGAAGGGAGCUUGACUGCGAGACGGACAGGUCGAGCAGGGACGAAAGUCGGGCUUAGUGAUCCGGUGGUAGAGAGUGGAAUUGCCAUCGCUCAACGGAUAAAAGCUACCCUGGGGAUAACAGGCUUAUCUCUCCCAAGAGUCCAUAUCGACGGGGAGGUUUGGCACCUCGAUGUCGGCUCAUCACAUCCUGGGGCUGAAGUAGGUCCCAAGGGUUGGGCUGUUCGCCCAUUAAAGUGGUACGCGAGCUGGGUUCAGAACGUCGUGAGACAGUUCGGUCCCUAU